rnacentral:rRNA from 1 species
CUACGGGAGGCAGCAGUGGGGAAUAUUGGACAAUGGGCGCAAGCCUGAUCCAGCAAUGCCGCGUGAGUGAAGACGGCCUUAGGGUUGUAAAACUCUUUCGCUAGGGAAGAUAAUGACUGUACCUAGUAAAGAAGUCCCGGCUAACUCCGUGCCAGCAGCCGCGGUAAUACGGAGGGGACUAGCGUUGUUCGGAAUUACUGGGCGUAAAGAGUUCGUAGGCGGACUGACAAGUUAGGGGUGAAAUCCCAGGGCUCAACCCUGGAACUGCCUUUAAAACUGUCAGUCUAGAGACCGGAAGAGGUUAGGGGAAUACCUAGUGUAGAGGUGAAAUUCGUAGAUAUUAGGUGGAACACCAGUGGCGAAGGCGCCUAACUGGUCCGGUACUGACGCUGAGGAACGAAAGCGUGGGGAGCAAACAGGAUUAGAUACCCGUGUAGUC